ensembl:lncRNA
AAGUUAAUUGUCUGGUGUGGAGAGGGACGUUCCUGGAGCCUGCUGUGAGCAGAAGGUCAGGCUGAGUAGCCAGCAGCUCGUUUUGGGGCAGGUUAUGCUUUUUUUUUUUCUUUUCUUUUUCCCUCCUGCUCCAGCAGAAACAGCUUCACAGCGGUGGGAGAUCCUUGUACGUAGCGUGGAAGGGUGCAAGAACCAACUGUGCUGGAAAGCAGCCUCCUGGGAAGGUUUUGUAAGGACAGCUGUGGAAUGCGCUCUGUUUACCAACUUCUUGCCAUGGAAAACAAAGCUUUGAUUCCUGGGCCAUGGAAAACUUCUGCCGAUGAAUCCCCACCCCCUCUCUGGGGAGGAAAGCACAACAAACACUAAUGCCUCUUCGCCCUUUUAUGCCUGGCGUAUUAAUCACCGAGCAGGGCUCGCCGCGUCCCGCUCAGCCUGCGUUUGCCCUCUAACUACGGGGAGGAGUUCUGCUUUGUCUAUAUAAAGCUGCACUUUGCUGAACACCGUAACAGAACCAAACUUAGAGACUCCAUCACCCAUCCUCUGUGGGGAGAGCAGAGCAGCAGCAGCCAUGUUUGGGAUUGGGAAGAAGCUCGCCGAGGAAGCAACGCAACAGGCCGAGAGCGCUGCGCAGGCGGCAGUUAACACGGUGGGGCAGACUGUGCAGCAAGCAGUGGAGCAGGCCAAGGAUGCUGGUCAGAAAGCUCUCGAUGAGGUCUACAAGGUCGCUGAAACCGGUGAGAAAGCUGUAAAAAAUGUAGCAAAUCAAGCAACUGCCUGGGGCAAAAGCUUCGGACAAUGAAGAUAACGUAACACCACUGAAUGUAUUCUUAAAUAAAUAAAACCCCUACAGUGUACGUGUCUGUCACGCAUUCUUUGGGAUUACUCUGAUUACACACAUUGGAACAGUCAGCGAUGUAGAAAGGUGGGAUUACUGCCCAGCAGACUGCUGAAGUUGCUGUUAGUGCAGCCAAACGC